UGGCAGUGAACGGUGGCUGGAGCGCGUGGUCAGUGGUGGGCACGCCCUCAACGUGCACCAAGAUUUGCGGGACUGGACAGCAGCAGGUUUCCCGGAGUAGAACCUGCACCAAUCCCCCUCCUUCAAAUGGAGGCUUGACCUGUCAGGGCGACAACACAGAUACCAUCGUGCAAUCUUGCAACACAAGUCCCUGUCCUUGUGCCAGCCAGCCAUGUAAUACCGGAACGUGUGUCGAUGUCUCGGCAACGGUAUUCACAUGUGAAUGUCCUGUGAACAGAGUCGGUACCUUCUGUGAUAUAGAAUGCGACUACCCCUGUCCCCCCGGUGUCGGCAUUAUCUUCCCCGACCUCACCAGCCCAACCAAAUUCGUCAGCUGCUUCCAGGGACAACGGGCUUCGAGGGACUGCCCCGCAGGGACGUCCUACAGCAACGCUGAUAAUAACUGUGUCUAACACAGCACUCAGUCAGCGAACUGUAACUGUUGGUCAUUAAAAGUUUCGUUUCUC